GGAAAUUCAGCCUUAAAUGCGCAAUUAUUGACUGCCUUAACUAAGCCCUCGAGUUCGGAACUAUUUGGAAAAGAGUAGGUUCCAGCAUAACAACCUAAAACUGCACGCCGAACCUGCUUCGACUAAAAACACACAAGCCUCUGUUAGCAUUGGUUCAAUAGGGGGGCCCCAAGGCGAAGCGCUAAUGCGACAUCAACAUCAACGCGUGGCUGGAGCUAAUAGUGAUUGCCCUAAACCCUUUCCAGCGGGAUGUAUGGAUUCCUCAAAAAUGCACUGACUGGCUAGUCCGAGAAGAUAUUGAAAUAGAACACAAAGCAAGAAGCGAAACGAAGGAAACAAAUGGCGCACUCACGGAAAACAAAACGAGAAAACGCUGAACGCGAGAAAUCUUGUAGCACCGAUGGAGCACCAAAUGAAGAGGAAGUCAACUGUUCAAGAUAAAAUCGAGGAUUGCUGGAAAGUCGUAAUGGAUUAUCUCAACGUAGACCACCUUUGCCUCGCUUCCUCGAACGUGUAUAUCGGAGAGAUGUUCAAGAGAUACAAUCGGUGCAAACAUAUUGAGGAAUCUGCGAAAACAUGAAAUUUUCUACUUUCGACCGGGAUAACGACACUGAUGUUUGAAAUAUUUAGUGUCCCUUCCUUAUAUUUGUAUACCUUGCAUUCGCGAUUAUCGACAGCGGGAACUUGUGGAACAAAUUUUUUGUUUGUGUAUCUUUAUAUACUGGCAUAUAUAUAUCAAAGAUAUAUUGGAACAAAGGGUAUACAAACUUCCA